GACGAGCGCUGGCGGCGUGCCUAAUACAUGCAAGUUGAGCGCUGAAGGUUGGUACUUGUACCAACUGGAUGAGCAGCGAACGGGUGAGUAACGCGUGGGGAAUCUGCCUUUGAGCGGGGGACAACAUUUGGAAACGAAUGCUAAUACCGCAUAAAAACUUUAAACACAAGUUUUAAGUUUGAAAGAUGCAAUUGCAUCACUCAAAGAUGAUCCCGCGUUGUAUUAGCUAGUUGGUGAGGUAAAGGCUCACCAAGGCGAUGAUACAUAGCCGACCUGAGAGGGUGAUCGGCCACAGUGGGACUGAGACACGGCCCAAACUCCUACGGGAGGCAGCAGUAGGGAAUCUUCGGCAAUGGACGAAAGUCUGACCGAGCAACGCCGCGGGAGUGAAGAAGGUUUUCGGAUCGUAAAAAUCUGUUGGUAGAGAAGAACGUUGGUGAGAGUGGAAAGCUCAUCAAGUGACGGUAACUACACAGAAAGAGACGGCUAACUACGUG
rnacentral:rRNA from 1 species